AUUUUUGUAGUUAAAUUAUACUAUAACAUAAGCUUUUCAUGCUUAAAUUCUUGAUACAAGCAAAAAUU
rnacentral:tRNA from 2 species